GGCAGGUGCAGUGAAUAUACUAGAAAAUCAAAAAUGAGUUCUCAGAAGCACUCAUCAAUCUAUUGUUGCCUCCUACAUGUUCUUUAGACAUAGUAUAACACACCUGAGUAUCAGAUGCAAUGAAAAUACUUGGAAAGCAAAAAUGUAAUUAUUCAUCAAAACCACAGAAAAAGACUGAAAGUAUUUCUCUCUUCAGGAUUACUCAGCAACACCCAUCAAUCUAUUGUUGCCUCCUAUAUGAUCAUUAGAGAUAGUAUAACAAUUCUGAGUGGACGACUCAGCAGCACUCAUCAAUCUAUUAUUGCCUCCUAUAUGAACAUUAGAGAUAGUAUAACACACCUGAGUACCAGAUGCAUUGAAAAUAAUGGAAAAAUUGAAAUAUACAUUUUUAAUCAAACCCUAGAAAGAGACUAAAAGUAUUUCUUUCUUCAGGACGACUCAGCAGCCUCCUACGUGAUUAUUAGAGAUAGUAUAACAAUUCUGAGUGGCAGGUGCAGUGAAUAUACUGGGAAAAUCAAGAAUGUAAUUUUUCAUCAAAGCACAGAAAGAGACUAAACGUAUUUCUUUUUCAGGACGACUCAGUAGAACCUAUUGUUGCCUAAUACAUGAUCCUUAGAGAGAGUAUCAUUUCUGAGUGCCAAGUGCAGUGACUUACUGGAAAAUCAAUUUUUUUCAUUUCAAUCAAAACCCCUGAAAUAGAAUAAAAGUAUUUCUUUCUUCAGGACGA